GGUAGUCUCGCACAGAUGCAUAUCAAUAAGCGGAGGAAAAGAAACUAACAAGGAUUCCCCUAGUAACGGCGAGUGAAGCGGGAAGAGCUCAAAUUUGAAAUCUUAAAGGGUUUCCCUUUACGAAUUGUAGUUUAAAGAAGUGUUCUCUGUUGAGGUUUUGGUAAAAGUUCUUUGGAAUAGGACAGUCAUAGAGGGUGAGAAUCCCGUAUUUGACCUUUACUUUCAACUUUGUGAUACACUUUCAAAGAGUCGGAUUGUUUGGGAAUGCAGUCCAAAAUGGGUGGUAAAUUUCAUCUAAAGCUAAAUAUUGGCGAGAGACCGAUAGCGAACAAGUACCGUGAGGGAAAGAUGAAAAGAACUUUGAAAAGAGAGUUAAACAGUACGUGAAAUUGUCAAAAGGGAAGCGUUUGACACCAGUGUUGUUUUUCUGAAAAUCAAUUAAAGAACUGUUUAUGCUAAGUUGUUUAGACUUUAUCAGCUAACUGUUUAGUUUUGAGCUUUUCUUUAAUGCACUUUUCAGUUAACAAGUCAACAUCAAUUUCUUUUGCUGUAAAAAAGCUUGAGGAAGGUGGCUUGAGAUUCGUCUUAAGUGUUUAUAGCCUCUUGCCUAGUGCAGUCGGAGAGAUUGAGGUCUGCAGCGUAGAUCCUUCGGGGCUAAAUGCAUUUGUGCUAAGUUAUAGCAUUUCAUAGACAACUUGUUGACUAUGAUUUGUCUUGUAGCUUACUCGCUUAUGUUAUUUUACCUACGCUUAGGAUGUUGACAGCAGUAUAGACUGU
rnacentral:rRNA from 1 species